GUUAACAAAAACAUAGCCUAUUGAAAAUUAUAUAAUAGGUAUAUAUCCUGCCCAGUGAGUAUUUCAACGGCCGCGGUAUCCUGACCGUGCAAAGGUAGCAUAAUCAUUUGCCUCCUAAUUAGAGGCUAGUAUGAAUGGAAAAACGAAAGCAUAACUGUCUCCUUUAUAAUAAUAUAAAUUAACCUUCAGGUGAAGAGGCCUGAAUCCAUUUAAAAGACAAGAAGACCCUGUCGAGCUUUAUUCUCAUAAAAUAAAAACUAUAAUCUAAAAUCAUACAUGAAUUUUGUUGGGGCGACAAAGGAACAAAUUUAACUUCCUUAUUUAAUAAAGAUUAUUUAUCAAGCUAUAGACCCAUUCCAUGAUCUCUAAUUUAAGCUACCGCAGGGAUAACAGUCUUAUUUCCCCCAAGAGCCCACAUCUACGGGGAAGUUUAGCACCUCGAUGUUGGCUUAGGAAUUCUAUUAAAUGUAGCCGUUUAACUAGAAGGUUUGUUCAACCUUUAAAAUCCUACGUGAUCUGAGUC
rnacentral:rRNA from 1 species